AAAACAAUAAACAUAUAUGAUUGUUUCAUGUGAUUCCCAUCCUAAAACCUGUUCCAGACUCUGAGUUGAUGGGUGUGGAGGAGGUUCAGUAAAUGAAGAAGUGAGUUUUGGGUUGUUUUUUCACUGUCACAUCUUUCAUUCAUGUCGUAGAGGAAGCAAAAGAUGGAUUCAGUUCAAGCAGCAGCGGUUUAAACAGAGAAAAUGUUUCACGUUAAAGAUACAAUCAAAAGUAAAAUCCUGCUUGAUUUGGUCUAAACUCAAUAAAGAAAUGAGGCCCAGCUUUGUCUUGUGAUACAGAGGAAAUAAAAGAGAGCAUGUGUUUGAAUGGUCUGGUUUUACAAUCAGCUUUACAGCCAUAAAUGUGCAGCCAAAGAGACAAAGUCAGUCACUCAGUCACUUCCUCCACCAGUAAACAGCCUCAACACUCUGCACAUCAACAGGUCGACAACUGAGUCCAACACAUCAUGGAGACCAGUUCCAGAAGUCUGGAAUCCAUCCUGGAGGCAGCAAUGCUCAGAUCAGCAGGAUACCUGAUAGGAAGCUCCCUGCUGGGCCUCCUCAUCAUCAUCGGGGUCUUCUGGUACCAUCGCAGCAAUCUCAGCCUUUUUAAAAGAUCCUGCAUCAUGACCUUCACCUGCCAGGAAAACAGUCUCAUGGGUGUUCAAGUCGUCUACAACUCUCUGAUGACUCUGCUCAGCAUGGAUGCUGUGAAUCUGAUUGUGGCAAUCAUCUUGGGAGCUGAGAUCGUUGGAAGGCUCUGCGAUGGUGUAAUCAACUGUCUCUCUGUUGAAAUCACAUGGUUCCUGUCCAGAUGGUUUGGAGUGAUUAUUCAUCUUCUGAAUGCCUCGUUGUCCAUCUAUCAUCUGUGUCAUCAGCCACUGAGUGUAAACAGGGUUCGCAUCGCCUACUCAUUGAUUGGUCUAAUGAUUGGCAUUAUAAUUCCACUUUAUCUGUAUGUCACCAAAGCGGCCAUAUUCAUUUUGGCCUCUUUCAUGUUUCUGUUUGCUCUGUCCGUCAUUGUAACAUCUACAGCACCUACUUUGUCCCCGUCCACUUCUGCCCUGAAGAAACUGAUCAUGGUUGUUGCAAUGUGCAACUUCCUGGUUGUCUACGUUCCCACUUUCAUUGCUCAGUGCCUCCUUUGCACUGCAGUCUAUGAUCACGACCUUGUGAAUUAUGAAAUUAUUUAUGCAAAUGUUCAGGUUUUCACAAACUUUCACCUCCUUUUUGAUGGAUUCCUGUGUGCUUUAAUCCUGAAGUUGCCUUCUGGAGAAGAACAGCAACAGCAGCAAGAACAGUGGCAGCAACAACAGCAACAAGAAUUGGGUUUCCCAAAUCCAGGAUACACUGUGUCUACAACUGUAAAUCAAUAAUGAGCAAAAUUAUGUCUCCACACCACAAAUAUCAAUAUGCAUCCUAACCACUGAUAGAUAAUCGAGAAUUGUGUCAUUAUUUUGAAUUAUUCCUGCCUUCAUGAACUGUAUCUGUUGGACAGAAGGAUGCAGCUCCUACUUUAUUCAUGUAAACCCUGAAAUCACAGAUGAAAAUCAGCGUUUCACCCUCUGUGUCUGAUUUAAAAUCCAGCAUAAAGCAAGAAAAAAAUGUGUGAACACUUUCAGAAUGUACUGGCAGUGGAGAGCUGUAUAAAAUGAAGUUGAUGGAAAUAGCAGCAACUUUGAAAACUUUUCAAAAUAAAAUAUCUGUUCAAUAUGUUGGUUUGUUAAUUACUUAAAGGUGGAGGGCACAUCUAAAAUAUGUUGUAGUUCCUACAAUG
ensembl:lncRNA